ACUUCGGUACAUCGGUGACAGGUAGUGCAUGGUUGUCGUCAGCUCGUGUCGUGAGAUGUUGGGUUAAGUCCCGCAACGAGCGCAACCCCUAUUGUUAGUUGCCAUCAUUCAGUUGGGGCACUCUAGCGAGACUGCCGGUAAUAAACCGGAGGAAGGUGGGGAUGACGUCAAAUCAUCAUGCCCCUUAUGACCUGGGCUACACACGUGCUACAAUGGUUGGUACAACGAGUUGCGAGUCGGUGACGGCGAGCUAAUCUCUUAAAGCCAAUCUCAGUUCGGAUUGUAGGCUGCAACUCGCCUACAUGAAGUCGGAGUUGCUAGUAAUCGCGGAUCAGAAUGCCGCGGUGAAUGCGUUCCCGGGUCUU
rnacentral:rRNA from 1 species